rnacentral:rRNA from 1 species
CCUACGGGUGGCAGCAGUGAGGAAUAUUGGUCAAUGGACGAGAGUCUGAACCAGCCAAGUAGCGUGAAGGAUGACUGCCCUAUGGGUUGUAAACUUCUUUUAUAUGGGAAUAAAACGUUCCACGAGUGGGAUUUUGUAUGUACCAUAUGAAUAAGGAUCGGCUAACUCCGUGCCAGCAGCCGCGGUAAUACGGAGGAUCCGAGCGUUAUCCGGAUUUAUUGGGUUUAAAGGGAGCGUAGGUGGAUUGUUAAGUCAGUUGUGAAAGUUUGCGGCUCAACCGUAAAAUUGCAGUUGAUACUGGCAGUCUUGAGUACAGUAGAGGUGGGCGGAAUUUGUGGUGUAGCGGUGAAAUGCUUAGAUAUUACGAAGAACUCCGAUUGCGAAGGCAGUUCACUAGACUGCAACUGACACUGAGGCACGAAAGUGUGGGUAUCAAACAGGAUUAGAUACCCCAGUAGUC